rnacentral:lncRNA from 1 species
GCAAAUAAUACAUCAGCUUUCUAAAUUAUUAUCAUCUAUAUAUACAUUUGGAAAGAAAAAAUAAAACGUAUAGGGAAAAGGGCAUAGACACCCAACACCUAACACCAGGCCUAACAAAUGAAAUCUACAUCAUCUAUGAAAGUCAUGGCAUCAUCAAAAUGAUAAACCUGAGCCAAAGCCCCAUGGGUCGGAGCCUCUGCACCAAAUUUUAAGUCAGGGCAGUAGAAGGUCAGUCUGCCUCCUCUAGAAACGUUAGCGGCACCCUGGCCAACAGUCGAGAUAGUACCUAGACCAGCAGGGUCAGA